rnacentral:lncRNA from 1 species
GCCGGCCGUGGGGAGCGGACGCAGUGAUUUGCUCCCCCUCGUGCAGCAACCCCCACACCCAGCACCAGGAGCCUGUUCCUCUCACGCCCUCACCUGGCUGAGCCGCAGUAGUUCUUCAGUGGCAAGCUUUAUGUCCUGACCCAGCUAAAGCUGCCAGUUGAAGAACUGUUGCCCUCUGCCCCUGGCUUCGAGGAGGAGGAGGAGCUGCUUUCCCCAUCAUCUGGAAGGCUUUCUGCCUCCGAGAUGUGGCACCAUAGUGCGGUGCCCUGUGGCUUCACCGCCCUACUUCCACCUCCGCCCAGCCUGUAAUGUUUAUAUAAGCAGCCUCAAGGACCAAGAACCAUCUGCGAAAGGACACACACAGGAAAUUCAUAAAAGAAAUCUGAAUGGAUAAAACCAUGAAAAAAAAGUAUGCUUCAUUAGUAAUUAAAGAAAGGCAAAUAGAGCUGGAAGCAUUUUUCCCUUAGCAAACCAUAACAGAAAAAAAUAAGACCCGAUAUUAGCAAAGAGACUACUGAAAAAACAUUCCCAUACAU